rnacentral:rRNA from 1 species
UUGGAGGGCAAGUCUGGUGCCAGCAGCCGCGGUAAUUCCAGCUCCAAUAGCGUAUAUUAAAGUUGUUGCAGUUAAAAAGCUCGUAGUUGAAUUUCGGGAUCAAUACGUCGGUCGUGCUUUUUUGGUACGCACUGGCGUCAUUGGUUUCUCCUUUCUGACGAACCAUGAUGUCAUUAAUUUGGUGUUAUGGGGAGUUAGGACUGUUACUUUGAAAAAAUUAGAGUGUUUAAAGCAGGCAUUAGCUUGAAUACAUUAGCAUGGAAUAAUGAAAUAGGACGUUCGAUCCUAUUUUGUUGGUUUCUAGGAUCGACGUAAUGAUUAAUAGGGAUAGUUGGGGGCAUUAGUAUUCAAUUGUCAGAGGUGAAAUUCUUGGAUUUAUUGAAGACUAACUACUGCGAAAGCAUUUGCCAAGGAUGUUUUCAUUAAUCAAGAACGAAAGUUAGGGGAUCGAAGACGAUCAGAUACCGUCGUAGUCUUAACCAUAAACUAUGCCGACUAGGGAUCGGAUGAUGUUAAUUUUUUAAUGACUCAUUCGGCGCCUUACGGGAAAC